AGACGAAUGGAACACUACUCUCAUGCUGGUACCUGUGUAAGGGCUUACCCGUGAGGUACGAUUUAGAAGAAAAUCGCUCUGCCUGUUUUACAGAUUCAUGGGAGAUUGGCGAGUGCAGCUCCGGUAAAUGCAUCAAUACCCUGCCACUAACAGGGGUGUCAUUGACAACACAGACCACGAUGACCAAGAUACCAUUUCCGCGCAAUAAAGGCCAGACUACUCCCUCACGUGGAAGGAGGAAACAAAAAUGCACACGUGACACCAAGCGCACAGAGUCAGACAGAAAAAGUUGUCGCUACCGAUGCCUCGGCCAACCAAAGAAAUUGGAGAUGGAACCGGACGGAACACCGUGCAGACCUUCACCCAGGAGACGUGGCUUCUGCUUCAACGGACGCUGUCGAAAGAAGUACCCUGAAACAAAACCACCUCAGGUGCCAAGUACCUUAACUCCUG
rnacentral:lncRNA from 1 species